CCUACGGGGGACAGCAGUCGAGAAUCAUUCACAAUGGGGGAAACCCUGAUGGUGCGACGCCGCGUGGGGGAAUGAAGGUCUUCGGAUUGUAAACCCCUGUCAUGCGGGAGCAAAUUAAAAAGAUAGUACCACAUGAGGAAGAGACGGCUAACUCUGUGCCAGCAGCUGCGGUAAUACAGAGGUCUCAAGCGUUGUUCGGAAUCACUGGGCGUAAAGCGUGCGGAGGCUGUGUCGUAAGUCGUGUGUGAAAGGCGCGGGCUCAACCCGCGGACGGCACAUGAUACUGGGAGACUAGAGUAAUGGAGGGGGAAGCGGAAUUCGCGGUGUAGCAGUGAAAUGCGUAGAUAUCGAGAGGAACACUCGUGGCGAAGGCGGGUUCCUGGACAUUAACUGACGCUGAGGCACGAAGGCCAGGGGAGCGAAAGGGAUUAGAUACCCGGGUAGUC
rnacentral:rRNA from 1 species